GAGGGUAUAGCUCAAUUGGCGGAGUGCAUGCUUAGCAUGCACGAGGUCCUGGAUUCAAUCCCCAGUACCUCCA
rnacentral:tRNA from 1 species